AUGAAACUGCUGGGUCUCUUCAUGUGCCUGCUGACAGCCCCCCAGGGUGUCUGGUCCCAGGUGCAGUUGCAGGAGUCAGGCUCAGGACUUGUAAAGCCCUCACAGACCCUCUCCCUCACCUGCACUGUCUCUGGUUACUCCAUCACCAGUGGUUAUGACUGGAGAUGGAUCCGUCAGCCCCCAGGGAAGGAGCUGGAGUGGAUCGGGCACAUAAAUUAUGUUGGAAGCACUCACUACAGCCGGUCCUUCAAGAGCCGAACCUCCAUCUCCAGAGACAGGUCCAAGAACCAUUUCUCCCUGCAGCUGAGCUCCAUAAGCACCGAGGACACGGCUGUGUAUUAUUGUGCAAGAGGCACAGUGAGGGGAAGUCAGCAAGAGCGCAGACACAAACCUCCCUGCAGGAAACAGGAAGUCUGGGCUGCAGCGGGGGCUCAGGCCACCAGAGGAAGUCGUAGUUAA